rnacentral:rRNA from 1 species
CAGUAGCCGCGGUAAUACGAGGGGGGCAAGCGUUGUUCGGAAUUAUUGGGCGUAAAGGGUGCGUAGGCGGCUUGACAAGUCUUGUGUGAAAUCUAUGGGCUCAACCCAUAGUCUGCACGGGAAACUGUCGGGCUUGAGAAUGGGAGAGGUGAGUGGAAUUUCCGGUGUAGCGGUGAAAUGCGUAGAUAUCGGAAGGAACACCUGUGGCGAAAGCGGCUCACUGGACCAUUUCUGACGCUGAUGCACGAAAGCUAGGGGAGCAAACAGGAUUAGAUACCCGUGUAGUCCCUGUCUCUUAUAA